GGUUUUCAAAUUUAUUUCUAAAUGUCUUAAUUAAAAGUUGUGCCUAGAACAUAUGGUUGGGGCUCUCGCGCUCUCUCCCUGCAGCAAAAAGUGUGUAUUAGUGAUAAGUGGGAUUUAUUUCCCCCUUUUUAUCAUUAAAAAACUAACAUCAAGCAGGAGGCCUAAAGAAGGAAAUUAUUCAAAACUGAGCAUUGUAAUUUGAAGGCUACAGCUAUUCACAGAAAAGGUUAGGAGUCAAUUUGGAGAAGUAAAGGCUUCUAUUCAGAGGGAUCUUCUUGGUGCUGUUCUUCUCGCUGCUUCCUUUGUACUUCUUUGCCCCUGAGUAGCCACUCCUCAUGAUCUUCAGUAUGCUCACAAUCAUUAAUGGUUUUAUCAGGGUUACUAUUAUUGUUAUUGCUGUUAUAGAAACAUAUCUGCCAGAGGUGGUCUCUGCUAUUGAAAAGGCUCUGGGGCUGCAUUCCAGGAAGCUUUGACUGCAAUUUAAGGUCUCCUUCCCUGAAAUGCUGUUGGAAACGGGGGGGGGGGGGAGGAUGA